rnacentral:rRNA from 1 species
UACGUAGGGUGCGAGCGUUAAUCGGAAUUACUGGGCGUAAAGCGUGCGCAGGCGGUUUUGUAAGACAGCUGUGAAAUCCCCGGGCUCAACCUGGGAACUGCGGUUGUGACUGCAAGGCUGGAGUGCGGCAGAGGGGGGUGGAAUUCCUGGUGUAGCAGUGAAAUGCGUAGAGAUCAGGAGGAACACCGAUGGCGAAGGCAGCCCCCUGGGCCGACACUGACGCUCAUGCACGAAAGCGUGGGGAGCAAACAGG